CAAUAGCGUAUAUUAAAGUUGUUGCAGUUAAAAAGCUCGUAGUUGGAUUUCUGGUCGGAAGCUCCUGUCCUCUGAUGAGCGUACAAGUGCGUCCUACCAUCCUUCUGUUAACCUUUAAGGCUUUCGCGGCUUUCUAGGGGCUCAGAUAUUUUACCUUGAGAAAAUUAGAGUGUUUCAGGCAGGCUAGCGCCGGAAUACAUUAGCAUGGAAUAAUGGGAUAGGACUUUUGCCUCUUCUGUUGGUCAUGAGGCUCGAGUAAUGAUUAAUAGGGAUAGUUGGGGGCAUUAGUACUUAACUGUCAGAGGUGAAAUUCUCGGAUUUGUUAAAGACUAACUUAUGCGAAAGCAUUUGCCAAGGAUGUUUNCAUUAA
rnacentral:rRNA from 1 species